rnacentral:rRNA from 1 species
AGGGGGCAAGCGUUGUCCGGAAUUAUUGGGCGUAAAGAGCGUGUAGGCGGGUCGGUAAGUCUGUCGGGAAAACCUGGGGCUCAACCCCAGGCGUGCGGUGGAUACUGCCGUGCUUGAGGACUGGAGAGGAGACUGGAAUUUACGGUGUAGCGGUGAAAUGCGUAGAUAUCGUAAGGAAGACCAGUGGCGAAGGCGGGUCUCUGGGCCGAUACUGACGCUGAGGAGCGAAAGCGUGGGGAGCGAACAGG